CUUACAUAAGCAUGACGCAUCCUGUGGUUAUGCUGGCCUUUUUUGCAGGCAGAGGAGAGAAGGACGGCCUUGAAAACUGAAGAAGAACGGCUACGAACGGAGAGGAAGGUCUUGGCGUAUAGGGAGGCAACAGAACAUUUCGAGAAAAAUGCCGCGAGGGCUCAUCAUUUGAUUUCAACAGCUUCUAUCCCCGGAAUAUUCCGGCCAGCACCGCGGUGCCAUCCUGCGUCACUAUGCAAAUCCCCAAACGGACACUGUACAGCUUGCUACUGCAGACAAUCGCCUCCUGGCGCCAGCUGCUGCGGCCCGAAGUUGGCUUUUGGGAAACCUGUCGAUGAGUUGCUACAGAUGCAUGCAAGGUCUAACCGCCAGAAGAAGGCAUGAAGCAUACGCUGAUGUACACCCGCAAUGCAAGUUAGUGAAUGAUUGACCUGAGCGUCCAGAAAAGAGGGUGAAAUGUAAAAGGUGUGCUGCCGAGGGACGACUGUAUGCAUGAAGUUAGUCUGAACCAUGCCGUCAAGCUACUCGAUAUUGGGGAUAUAACUAGCAUCUCGUUUGGGUUCUCAAGAGCAUAUGCUCAUGUUUGUUGUUUGCGCGAGGACACUGCGACGGGGUGACCGAAGAGCGAGGAUGCUUCAUCGUAAUCCUUCAACUGUCUUUUGUCAGCAAGAAAAUAUUUUUGCAGCACGGCU
rnacentral:lncRNA from 1 species